UACGAAGGGGGCUAGCGUUGCUCGGAAUCACUGGGCGUAAAGGGUGCGUAGGCGGGUCUUUAAGUCAGGGGUGAAAUCCUGGAGCUCAACUCCAGAACUGCCUUUGAUACUGAGGAUCUUGAGUCCGGGAGAGGUGAGUGGAACUGCGAGUGUAGAGGUGAAAUUCGUAGAUAUUCGCAAGAACACCAGUGGCGAAGGCGGCUCACUGGCCCGGUACUGACGCUGAGGCACGAAAGCGUGGGG
rnacentral:rRNA from 1 species